rnacentral:tRNA from 1 species
CGCGGGGUGGAGCAGUUCGGUAGCUCGUCGGGCUCAUAACCCGGAGGUCGCAGGUUCGAAUCCUGCCCCCGCAACCA